GGAACAUGGCGUCCCACUGAGGCGUGUGGGAGAGAUAAAGGGAGGAGCAGGGGGGGAACAUGGCGUCCCACUGAGGCGUGUGGGAGAGAUAAAGGGGGGAGCGGGGGGGACAUGGCGUCCCUUUUGGGGACACCUGGGACGUGUGGGACAGACAAAGGAGGAUGCAAUAAAAACAAACUAAUUUCUUGAAGGAAUCAUACGUAUGAAUAUUCAUAAAAAACUUUAGACAGAAGCCAUGGUAAUUUCUUCCACAAGUUUUCAUUUGAAGGAGAUAAACCCGAAGACCUGUAAUACCUGACGCUGUAUAGGUGCAACAGCUACAGGAUAUUUGACUUAAAUCCUGAACAACCAAAUAUAUUGCAGGAGGAGCAGCUGGAACGUUUGAAGAAAGAAUUUCCAGAGUGGAAAAGCCAUGUGUUCCACAGUCAGCCAUUUAAAUCCAUAUCUCCAUGUAAAUGUCAUGUAGUUGCCUGGAAGAGAAAUCUAUAGAUAACUUGAAGAGUGUUCAAACGCAGAAGGAUUAAUUGCUGACAAGCUGUAGCAGUUAUCUGACAACAGGAAAUUAAGAGAGUGAUCGCAAGAUACGUGUAAAUAGAUCAGGCACUUUUAAAUCCC